UUUAACUGGAGGGGAAGUGGGGAUGACGUCAAAUCAUCAUGCCCCUUAUGACCUGGGCUACACACGUGCUACAAUGGACGGUACAACGAGUCGCGAAGUCGUGAGGCUAAGCUAAUCUCUUAAAGCCGUUCUCAGUUCGGAUUGUAGGCUGCAACUCGCCUACAUGAAGUUGGAAUCGCUAGUAAUCGCGGAUCAGCAUGCCGCGGUGAAUACGUUCCCGGGCCUUGUACACACCGCCCGUCACACCAUGAGAGUUUGUAACACCCAAAGCCGGUGAGAUAACCUUCGGGAGUCAGCCGUCUAAGGUGGGACAGAUGAUUAGGGUGAAGACGAAGCAGAUGAGGCAUUAACGC
rnacentral:rRNA from 2 species